ensembl:lncRNA
GUUACAUUUCUUUCUUUCUUUUUGCCUUUGGAUACUUUUCUUCUUCGACAUCAGUGCAUCAUAAAGAAAGGAACAAAAGUUUGGCCUCUGGCUCCUGCAGGGCCCCCAAGCGAGCACUUUUUUGGGGUUCACAGUGCGGUGACCUCUGAGGAGAUGCAGUAACGUCCUGAACUCUUCAGCAUCAAAGAGAUCUGCGGGGGGCGGAGCUGAUACAGAACGCAUCACAAUGCCGGUCCACCUACACUCUCCCGCUCCUGUUCCUCACUUUCCUCAAGUAUGCGAAUAUGAAUGACUUCAGUCCUCUCCCUGUGACCUCUCUAUCACAUCACCUCUGGCCACCCGAGAUGUAGAUAAGUUUGUUUCUUAAUGGGAAGAUUUGAAGAAAUCAGUCCAAACAGCUGAUAAAAACAUCACAGUAAUCCAGCCCAUCAGUUAACAUCUUGUGAAGUAAAAAUCUAUAUUUCUGCAAAAAACAAAUCCAUCAAGUUUUUUUUUUUUUUUUCUUCGAACCAUUGCGUCUGGCCAAAAUACGAGUCCAUAUAAUUCAUAAUAAUGCUUCCUCCUGUGAAAAAGUCCAUCUCCUGUUGUCCUCUCACAUCAAAAUCCACCGACAUAACUGUUUUGGACUGUUUUCUCUUGUAAACAGUGCUUGAUAUGUGCUGAUUUCUCUCCUGAUUCAGAUGAGAUGCCUUUUCACUGGAGAAAGCAAUAUUAUGGAUAGAGGACUCAUAUUUUAGUCACAAGAUGUUAACUGAUGGACUGGAGUGGUGUGGAUUACUUGUGGAUUAUUGUUUUGUUUUUAUCAGCUGUUUGGACUCUCAUUCUGACGGCACCCAUUCACGGCAGAGGAUCCUUUGGUGAGCAAGUGAUGCAAUGCUACAUUUCUACAAAUAUGUUCCAGUGAAGAAACAAACUCAUCUAAGUCUUGGAUGGCCUGAGGUUGAGUUCAUUUCCAGAAAAUGUUCAUUUUGAAGGGAACUAUUCCUUUAUUUCAGCUUUGCAUCACAGGAAUAAAUUACAUUUUAAAAUAUAUUCAAAUAUACAAUAGUUAUUUAAAAUUGUAAUAAUAUUUCACAUAAUUACUGUAUUUGCAAUCAAAUAAAACAUUCAAAAACCUAAAAAAACGUAUAUAUAUAUAUAUAUAUGUGUGUAUGUAUAUAUGUGUGUGUGUGUGUGUGUGUGUGUGUGUGUGUGUGUGUGUGUGUGUGUGUGUAUUCUUUCUAUAUAAUUUU